rnacentral:lncRNA from 1 species
CAGUUCUUGGUUGAAGUUUUGCCCAGCUCUGCCCGAAAACGAAGGUUAAAUUAAAAAAAAAAAAGUAGGGUAGGUGUGAGAUCCUGUGGCUCAAUGGUAGACGCGCCUCCCGGUCAGGAGGUCAUCGGUUCAAGACCGAUCAGGAACUCCAGAUCACGGUUGAGGACAAGGUUCAGGAAGACCUGCGGGCAGACCCCAAGGACGAGGGGCUGUCAGAGGGCAACACAAGAACGGGGGUGGAAAUAAUCCGGGCUCCCCCCGGGGCCUCCGGAGAGAAGAAAGCAGGGGGUUAUGGAGCUGAAAACAAGAGGUUGGACUUAGUUUUAAAUAGAAUCCAGCUUCAUUUAAAAACCAUCACCUCACUUUUUUCUUUCUUUUUGGAGGAACACCACUGCUCCUCUCCUUCUCAUCACUCUUCCUCUUCCUCUUCUCUGCUGCUCCUCCUCGCUCUUCCUCCUCCUUCUUGCAGCCACCCAUCUGACCACUGUGAGCUCAACCCAUCACCACCUGAGACCAGGCCAGAUUUGAACCAGCAACCUCUUGAUUACGAGGCAAGGCUUUUCCCACAAAGCCACCAAGUCUCACUUGUGCUUAAUGCUUUUUUUGGGGGGUUUGUUCUUUAAUUUCGGGCGGGGGAAGGAGGGGAGGAGAGCAAGAGAAAGAGUGUGAGUGAGUGAGCGAGCGAGAGAGAGAAAGAAAGAGACAGAGAGAGAGAGAGAGAGAGAGAGAGAGAUGUUCCUUUAGUUCUAAGUUGGAGAGCUGUUAAACUCUACCUUAUGGGUUUUGGUCAACAUCAGUCUUUUAUUCAUCUUUUCUUCAAGAAACUGAUUUCAUAUGCUAGACUCUAUAUCAAGUGUUGGUAGAGGGAAAGUGAAUAGUUGACUUUUGGUAGACUACCUUAGGGCUCUUGAUCAACAUCAGCCUUUUAAUCACCUCUUCCUCAAAUGACUGAUUUCAGAUGCUGCUAAACACAAUCAGGUCUUGGUUGAGGGAAAGUGAGUAAAUUGACUGUAGCUGACUCUAUGGAAGAAGCUGGAGAGCUUGUUUCUUUGACUUUGAUCAGCAUCAGUCUUUCAGACACCUCUGCUUUAAGAGCCUUUGAUUUCAGAUGAUUCUAAACAGUCCAUUAGGUCUUGGUUGAAGGAUAUUUAGAAAUUUAUUUGACUUCAGAAGGAACUUUUUUUGGCCUUUUGGUCGGCUUAACCUUAGAGUUCUCUUGGUCAACAUCAGUCUUUCAGUCAUCUCUUCUUCUGGAGACUUUGAUUUUCGAUGCCCCUAAACACUAUGAAGUCUUGGUUGACAAAAAGGAGCUUGUUUCUUGAACUUUAGAUGGACUCUACCUUAUAAGUCUUAAUCAACAUCAGUCUUGCACUUCUUCUCCAAAUUACUUUCGUUUUUGAUGCUCGUAAAUAUUAUCAA